rnacentral:rRNA from 1 species
GACGUAGGGGGCGAGCGUUGUCCGGAUUCAUUGGGCGUAAAGCGCGCGUAGGCGGCUCGGUAAGUCGGUUGUGAAAUCCUGGGGCUCAACCCCAGGACUGCGUCCGAUACUGCCGGGCUAGAGGUAGGUAGGGGAGAUCGGAAUUCCUGGUGUAGCGGUGAAAUGCGCAGAUAUCAGGAGGAACACCGGUGGCGAAGGCGGAUCUCUGGGCCUUACCUGACGCUCAGGCGCGAAAGCUAGGGGAGCAAAC